AUGAAAUGACGACUGAACUCUAUCCAUUCUGGGAGUGUGCCGUGCUACUCUUCUGCAGCACGAGGUUCCCGUUCCAGGACCUCCGUGCCAUGCAGUUUCCAAAUGCCCUUUUGGUCUUUUGGCGUUCUGCUGGAGACGGCUGGUGUGUUUUUGGUGCCUGACUGGGAGAGGACGCUGGCUGCAGGGGGGUGGGGGGAGAUGAACAG